CCCCGCCCCCGUACCGGCCUUGAAGCUGAGCUCAUCUUGCUCCUGGCCGUCGUAGUCGUAAAGUGCCCGCACACGUACUCCCUUGGCAUCAUCCUCGAAGGGGUUGGCGCCGCCGUUGGCCUCGUUCCCCCCGAAGGGAGUCCCACUCUCAUCAUCUGACCACUCGGUGGCGUACGGUUGGCCUCGGUCAUAGCUGCUAACACUGGGGUGCACAUGGAGGACCUCCGUCAGCGGCUCGACCCCACCCCUAUCAAUACCCUCUCCUAACCAGAGCCUGGGUCCAAAUUCUACCCAGGCGGGGGCAGAGGCGGCGACUCUCUGACAACUUGAACACUGCGCAUCAGUAUUUCGGCUCCAGAGGCAGGAAGGGCUACAGAGGAGCCCGGAGGCUGACCCUGUGAAAGGGGCACUAUCCCUAAGUGGGUACCAGCUAGGAUGUGGAGCAGAGAACCUUCCCUGGUUCUGAGGCUGGCCGGAGGCUUGAGUCCAUUAAUGUAGUGCCCAACACACUGUGUACCUUCUGCACGUCCUGCCUACACUUGUCCACCUUGUCCAGAAGUUUCUUCUGCUGCUCGGGGGUGACCGACUGCUCCGUCUUACUAUUCAUCUCCCGAGUCAUGGCCAGCUUCUCCUCUUUGCAAGCCAGAUGAUAGGCUUUCUUGGCCGCCUCCAGCUGUGGGGAGAGAGGGCCAGGGGCUGCUGCCCCACAUGACACUGCUCACGGCCGCUGCAGACAUGCCAGUCACGGGAUCUGUGGAGCCAGCUGGAUGUGUGCUGGGGAAAGCACAUCAGCGCUCAGAAAAACGUGCAGAUUAGUGGAGGAAAAGCCUGUCUGACAGAUCUCAAGUGUAAGACCAGCUCGGGCUACACAGCAAAACCAAGACGAAGAAAAGGAAGCAGCAGCGGCAGCCUCUGCAGAAAUGGUGGUGCACAAUUCAGACCCAGCGCUCGGGAGGCGGAGGCAGGUGGCCAGCCUGGUCUACAGAGUGAUCCUAGGGGCCAGGCUUCAGAGUAAGAUUCCGUCUCAAAGAAACAAGAGAGAGUUAUACAAAGCAGGAGAAUGAAGGGGCCUCCUUUGAUCCAGGACACCCAGGUGAAAAGCCCUGUGGCUGGGAUGCUGGUGCACCCGGGGCCCGCCCCGGGGGACCCGUCAGAGCCCGGGGGGUGGGGCACCUUUCUCGAUGAGCUGGCGCCAGCGCUUGGCCCAGUCGGUGAGCUGCUGCGCGUAGGCUUUCUCGAUCUUGGCGCGCUCCUGCACGCAGCUCAUGAGGUCGUUGCAGAGGCGGUGGCCGUCGUCAAUGCGCUUCACCGUCCGCUUGUAGUUCCCCACCUGGCGGCAGAGCAGCAAGUGACCGGGCAGAGCAGCAAGUGACCCGGCAGCCCCUGCGAUCCUAGCCCUGGCCUGCAGGGGGCGCGUCGCCUCCGCCUCGCCCCGCCCUCCACGCGGCGGAGUCCCAGAGCUCCACGUCAGACCCCGCGGUCUCCACCUACCCUCCUCCUCCUCCAAAACCUCCUCACUGCCGCAAAAAGCAUACGGAGUUUUAUAUAAUUUGGACUUGGGCUAGAAUGAAUUAUUCAUUUUGCUCUUGUGAGCUAAAUCUAUUAUAUUUAUACGAGUCAUAUAAGCUU